CGUAUGUCACAAGCGUUAUCCGGAUUUAUUGGGCGUAAAGCGCGUCUAGGCGGCUAUGUAAGUCUGAUGUGAAAAAUGCGGGGGCUCAACUCCGUAUUGCGUUGGAAAACUGUGUAGCUAGAGUAUCGGAGAGGUAAGCGGAACUACAAGUGUAGAGGUGAAAUUCGUAGAUAUUUGUAGGAAUGCCGAUGGGGAAGCCAGCUUACUGGACGAAUACUGACGCUAAAAGCGCGAAAGCGUGGGGGUAGCAAACAGGAUU
rnacentral:rRNA from 1 species